CAGCCGCCGCGGUAAUACGAAGGGGGCUAGCGUUGCUCGGAAUGACUGGGCGUAAAGGGCGCGUAGGCGGUUUGCCAAGUUAGAUGUGAAAUUCCCGGGCUUAACCUGGGGACUGCAUUUGAUACUGGCAGGCUUGAGUGUGGAAGAGGGUCGUGGAAUUCCCAGUGUAGAGGUGAAAUUCGUAGAUAUUGGGAAGAACACCGGUGGCGAAGGCGGCGACCUGGUCCAUAACUGACGCUGAGGCGCGAAAGCGUGGGGAGCAAACAGGAUUAGAUACCCCCGUAGUCCCUGUCUCUUAUAC
rnacentral:rRNA from 1 species